AACAUUAAUGAACAUAGGUCGAACAUGAUCUGACCGCUCUAGUAGUAAGUCAUCGUCGGAAAACACAAUGCACGAAGCCCUAUCAGCUGUUAGAAAUGGAAUAAGUCCAUUUGGGGUGGUAGUAGUAUCAACUCUAAUCUGACUAAGAGCUUUGAUCAAUGCAUCUCUAUGUGUGCUAGAUGUGGCCAAUAGGCUCCAAAUGGAUAUGCGAG
rnacentral:lncRNA from 1 species